AUUGAACGCUGGCGGCAUGCUUUACACAUGCAAGUCGAACGGUAACAGGGUGCUUGCACCGCUGACGAGUGGCGAACGGGUGAGUAAUGCGUCGGAACGUGCCGAGUAGUGGGGGAUAACGCAGCGAAAGUUGUGCUAAUACCGCAUACGUACUGAGGUAGAAAGUGGGGGACCUUCGGGCCUCACGCUAUUCGAGCGGCCGCCGUCUGAUUAGCUAGUAGGUGAGGUAAAGGCUCACCGAGGCGACGAUCAGUGGCGGGUCUGAGAGGAUGAUCCGCCACACUGGGACUGAGACAGGGCGCAGACGCCGACGGGAGGCAGCAGUGGGGAAUUUUGGACAAUGGGCGAAAGCCUGAUCCAGCCAUGCCGCGUGUCUGAAGAAGGCCUUCGGGUUGUAAAGGGCUUUUGUCAGGGAGGAAAUCCCUAGUGCUAAUAACACUGGGGGAUGACAGUACCUGAAGAAUAAGCACCGGCUAACUACGUGCCAGCCGCCGCCGUAA
rnacentral:rRNA from 1 species